GUGCUCCCUUCGGCAGCACAUAAACUAAAACUGGAUCGAUACAGAGAAAAUUAGCAUGGCAUCUGCACAAGGAUGACAAGCAAAUUUGUGAAACAGUCCAUAUUUUU